GACGAACGCUGGCGGCGUGCUUAACAAAUGCAAGUCGAACGAGUGGAGAACGGGUGAGUAACACGUGGGUGAUCUGCCUUGCACUUCGGGAUAAGCUUGGGAAACGGGGACUAAUACCGGAUAGUGCAAGAUGCGCGCGAGGCCUAUCAGCUUGUUGGUGGGGUAAUGGCUACCAAGGCGCGAAGGGGCGCCGGCCUGAGCGGGUGUACGGCCACAUUGGUCCUGCGUGACGGCCCAGACUCCUACGGGAGGCAGUAGUGGGGAAUAUUGCUCAAUGGGCGGAAGACUGAUGCAGCGACGCCGCGUGCGUGAUGAAGGCCUUCGUGUUGUAAACUCCUUUCGACAGGGACGCGGUACCUGUAUAAGAAGCACCGGCUAACUACGAGCCAGCAGCCGCGGUAAGUC
rnacentral:rRNA from 1 species